rnacentral:rRNA from 1 species
CCUACGGGAGGCAGCAGUGAGGAAUAUUGCACAAUGGGGGAAACCCUGAUGCAGCGACGCCGCGUGUAGGAAGACGGUCCUCUGGAUUGUAAACUACUGUCCCCAGGGACGAAGAUGACGGUACCUGGGGAGGAAGCUCCGGCUAACUACGUGCCAGCAGCCGCGGUAAGACGUAGGGAGCGAGCGUUGUCCGGAAUUACUGGGUGUAAAGGGAGCGUAGGCGGGGAUGCAAGUUGGGUGUUAAAUCUACCGGCUCAACUGGUAGUCGCACUCAAAACUGCAGCUCUUGAGUGAAGUAGAGGCAGGCGGAAUUCCUAGUGUAGCGGUGAAAUGCGUAGAUAUUAGGAGGAACACCAGUGGCGAAGGCGGCCUGCUGGGCUUUUACUGACGCUGAGGCUCGAAAGUGUGGGGAGCAAACAGGAUUAGAUACCCGGGUAGUC